rnacentral:rRNA from 1 species
UACGAAGGGGGCUAGCGUUGCUCGGAAUCACUGGGCGUAAAGGGUGCGUAGGCGGGUCUUUAAGUCAGGGGUGAAAUCCCGGGGCUCAACCCCGGAACUGCCUUUGAUACUGGCAUUCUCGAGUCCGGAAGAGGUGAGUGGAAUUCCGAGUGUAGAGGUGAAAUUCGCAGAUAUCAGGAGGAACACCAAUGGCGAAGGCAGCUCGCUGGGACGUGACUGACGCUGAGACGCGAAAGCGUGGGGAGCAAACAGG